rnacentral:misc_RNA from 1 species
GUGAGAGAGGCUUAACGAGUUGAUUUUCUUUUCUUGGAUUAAAUAGUAGUCCAAAUCUAGAUUUUGUCCUUCAUAUUUUAAGGAACAUAAUGUAUGCUCCAGGAAAAGGGAUUACUCUUCCCUAACCAUGGUCACCUAAAUAUAGGAGGCUUUACAAAUGCAAAUUAGGCUAGAUCCCCUGAUGAUAGGUCUACAUUUGGUUAUUGCUUAUGGGUGGGAAUUUGGUUACUUGUAGGA